UUGAGAACUGCCAGGCACAAAACUCAUGGAAAAGGCCUCCAGGAUCACAGGGGCCAGCUGCCAGGCCAGCCCUGCCAAGGCCACCACUGACCACGUCCCCAAGGGUCACAUCUCCACGGCUCAGAUCCCCCCAGGGAGGAUGUCCCUGCCUGAGGAAGAGGGGGAAGGAACUGUCCAAGGUGAUUUGCAGCAGAAGGAACAGCUGCUAAAGGUCAGUCCUAAAGUCAAAGUCACGCAGCAAAAAUGGGAACUGGUUCCGUGAGCAACAGCAGCAGCCUGGGCUGAGCCAGCCGGGGAGUUUGCCCACCAGGAGCUGACAGCAGAAGGAAAUGAAGCCCCAAAUCUGUCUCCUGGUGCCCGGAUGCCCCAGGCCACGGCCCGGGGGCUGCGUGGCAGCGAGAGAGGAAACAGGAGCACAAAUGGCAUCCCGGGGGAGCAGCAGCGCCCGUUGUUUAUCAAAGCAGGGCGAACAAACAGAUUUGCAUCCAUUAAUAGCUCCGUGAUCAACUCCUGAUAAAGAACAAGCUGCUCCACCCUCGAGCUCCCUGCUCAGGCACUCGGGGCUGGUAACGAAGCCGAGCAAAUACGAACCAACCCACCCGGGGAAAGCACAAAGCCUGAACUUAAGAGUGCAAAAGAAAUCAAGUCUCCUCUCCUCAAUUCACUGAAUUGAUCGUCUGCCAGACCCGAGGAGGUCCACGGGAGUUAAGGGGAUGUGGCAACAUCUCCUGAUACCUCGUGGUAGGAGAGAAACAGCCUCUGUCUUAAUUACCUCCCCUGGGAAGGCAGAGAACAGCGCUGGAGUAAACAUUCAAACUACGCA